UACGUAGGUGGCAAGCGUUAUCCGGAUUUACUGGGCGUAAAGAGCGCGCAGGCGGUCGGAUAAGUCGAAUGUGAAAGCCCCCGGCUCAACUGGGGAGGGUCAUUCGAUACUGUUCGACUCGAAGGCAGGAGAGGGAAGUGGAAUUCCCGGUGUAGUGGUGAAAUGCGUAGAUAUCGGGAGGAACACCAGUGGCGAAGGCGACUUCCUGGCCUGUUCUUGACGCUGAGGCGCGAAAGCUAGGGGAGCAAACGGG
rnacentral:rRNA from 1 species